GCCUGUAGCUCAGCUGGUUAGAGCAUCCGACUCAUAAUCGGCAGGUCGAAGGUUCGAGUCCUUCCAGGCCC
rnacentral:tRNA from 1 species